rnacentral:rRNA from 1 species
UACGUAGGGUGCAGGCGUUAAUCGGAAUUACUGGGCGUAAGGCGGGCGCAGGCGGUUUGCUAAGACAGGGGGGAAAUCCCCGGGCUUAACCUGGGAACUGCGCUUGUAACUGGCAAGCUAGAGUGUGGCAGAGGGGGGUGGAAUUCCACGUGUAGCAGUGAAAUGCGCAGAUAUCGGGAGGAACACCGGUGGCGAAGGCGGUUCUCUGGGCCUGUGCUGACGCUGAGGAGCGAAAGCGUGGGGAGCGAACAGG